GCACUAGUUUGAAAGGGGCAAUUCCAAGUGAAAUCGGUGACUUGCCUUCCCUUGAGAUUCUCAAUCUCUUUGCAACACCGAUAUUUGACCUGCCAGAAAGCGUCCGGAAUCUUUCUUCUCUCCAACACCUUGACCUAGGGAGCUGUGGGGAGCUCCGGUUGCUGCCAGAGCUUCCUUCUUCUCUCCGACACCUUGAACUAACGGACUGUGAGGAGCUCCGGUUGCUGCCAGAGCUUCCUUCUUCUCUCCAACACCUUGAACUAAACGGCUGUAAGGAGCUCCGGUCGCUGCCAAGGCUUCCUUCGGGCUUAACAGAUCUGUCGGUCACUUGUCAGAGCCUUACACUGCCACAGCUUUUUAGCCUCAUCCACCUAAGAAAACUCCAU
rnacentral:lncRNA from 1 species